UAACUUUUUGUUGAAAGGCACGAUGGAAGACAAAUGAUGACAGUGUCUUAUCAUGGAGUCAUGGGAGAAUAUAAGAAGGAAAUGUGGACUCCAGAAACCACUGUUAAUGAGAUUACCCAGCUCUUCUGGGAAGACAACGCAUUCUAAUGAUGGCCCAUUCUGCAUGCUGUCUUUUUUAGUGACACUCCUCUCUAUCCACAAGAUGUGUGCCUUGAGCAACCAGCAACCAUGCUGUGAAGAGGCACAAACCAGCCUAGACAGAUAGAUGAGAUGGAUAGGCUUACAUGGAGUGGAACUGAGGUCCCCAGCCAGUAGCCAGCGUCAACCACCAGCCCAGUGAGUAAAUGAAGCUUCAAAUGAUUCUACCACUCAGCCUUUGAUCCACUUCAACAGUUGUAAUGUAGAGCAGAGAUAAACUAUCCCAUGAAAUCCUGACCAAAUUACA